YUGGAUGGUAGUGUAUUGGACUACCAUGGCUUUAACGGGUAACGGAGGAUUAGGGUUCGAUUCCGGAGAGGGAGCCUGAGAAACGGCUACCACAUCUAAGGAAGGCAGCAGGCGCGUAAAUUACCCAAUCCUGACUCAGGGAGGUAGUGACAAGAAAUAACGGACCGAGGCCUCGYGCYUCGGGAUUGCAAUGAGUACAAUUUAAACCCCUUAACGAGGAUCAAUUGGAGGGCAAGUCUGGUGCCAGCAGCCGCGGUAAUUCCAGCUCCAAUAGCGUAUAUUAAAGUUGUUGCAGUUAAAAAGCUCGUAGUUGGAUUUCUGGCGAGGGUGCCAAUGUCCGCCGGCAGGCGUGUGCAGCGGCGCCCUUCCAUCCUUCUGUUAACGUUUCUUGGUAUUCAGUUACUGGUUGCGGGCUCAGAUAUUUUACCUUGAGAAAAUUAGAGUGUUUCAGGCAGGCUUGCGCCGGAAUACAUUAGCAUGGAAUAAUAGAAGAGGACUYUGGUCGCUGUUGUUGGUUUGAGGGACCUGGAGUAAUGAUUAAUAGGGAUAGUUGGGGGCAUUAGUAUUUAAUUGUCAGAGGUGAAAUUCUCGGAUUUGUUAAAGACUAACUUAUGCGAAAGCAUUUGCCAAGGAUGUUUUCAUUAAUCAAGAACGAAAGUUAGGGGAUCAAAGACGAUCAGAUACCGUC
rnacentral:rRNA from 1 species